rnacentral:rRNA from 1 species
UACGUAGGGGGCGAGCGUUGUCCGGAAUUACUGGGCGUAAAGGGCGAGUAGGUGGCCAUCUAAGUCAGACGUGAAAUCCCCCGGCUUAACCUGGGAACUGCGUCUGAUACUGGACGGCUUGAGUAUGGGAGAGGGAUGUAGAAUUCCAGGUGUAGCGGUGAAAUGCGUAGAUAUCUGGAGGAAUACCGGUGGCGAAGGCGGCAUCCUGGACCAUUACUGACACUGAUCCGCGAAAGCUAGGGGAGCAAACGGG